CUGUUUGCUUGCUUGUAAUUUCCUUUUAACUUAGGAAGGCUCUUUUCUGUUUGGGGUGACGGGACCUGGAAUCAGCCAUGGACUCUGAUACCUUUUCCCUGUUAAUGCAGCCACCUGGAUCAGGAUCAGUGCAUUCGAGCCCA
rnacentral:lncRNA from 1 species